UACGUAGGGGGCAAGCGUUGUCCGGAAUUAUUGGGCGUAAAGCGCGCGCAGGCGGCUAUUUAAGUCUCAUGUUUAAACCCAGGGCUCAACCUUGGGGCGCAUGGGAAACUGGGUAGCUUGAGUGUAGGAGAGGAAAGUGGAAUUCCACGUGUAGCGGUGAAAUGCGUAGAGAUGUGGAGGAACACCAGUGGCGAAGGCGACUUUCUGGCCUAUAACUGACGCUGAGGCGCGAAAGCGUGGGGAGCAAACAGG
rnacentral:rRNA from 1 species